CGCGCCGCACACUCACCGGACGAGCGAGCGGGGGCUGCUCCAGGAGGACGUGGGUCCGAAGCCGCCCGGGCGCCGCCCGAGUCCGGAGUGGCGCGCAGGUGUUGGGUAAUGGCUACACAGACGAUACCAUCCUAUGGACUGGGGUGUUGGACUAAGUAAAAAUAGAAGAAGAAGAAAGCAACUAAGCACUAACAUUCAUCUCGUUCAGCUUUCUAACUGCAGUUACAGCGUGACCAGCCACCAAGCCUUGCCCUUCCUGAUGGACUUUAUCCCAUCAAAGUGCAGUUACAGCGUGACCAGCCAACAAGCCUUGCCCUCCGUGAUGGACUAUAUCCCAUCAAACCAUGAGCCAGGUACUUGUCACAGCAAUGCAAAAAGCAACUAGUACAAGUCCCAGAAACACUGGGGAGCAGCCCAGGUCCUCAUUCACCACAGAAACCAGCCAGGCCCAGUUGAAUCUGAGACAUGGCAUCUGGGCUGUCAGCAGCAGGAGGAGGGCAGUGGAUCACAAGUGUGGGAACCUUUUAGUAGACGAUUCAAACCAGAAAGAUCCUGUCUGCAGUAUGUUUAAACAAAAAUACGCCCAAAGAUCAAAUGUGGCCCUUGGCAGAACAGGGCAAACUGGCCAGAGGGCAAGCUGAAGCUCUUCUAUGUUCAGAAGGUCUAUCAGGAUCAAGGACUCCUAGGGCACCUCACAGGCCCGAGGUGGAGGUGCACUGACAGAGCCCCACCCUUUACGCCCCUUAGCUCACUUGCCUCUGCUACCCAUAAGCCCAUGGCCAGCCUGGGAAGGAAACAAGUGCUCAGAGAGCUGAAAUCUAUAGGCAAGACCACCAACAAAGCUUGUAUGAAGAGCUGAAGAUUCAGUCCAGCCUUUAUACAGACUCUGCAGUGUUCCUCUGGAAUGCUUAAUGUAGGGCCAGAACCUGCUUGUUGGCAGACCACUUGCCUAGCACAUGUGCAGUGCUGGGUAUGUUCUCUAGCUCCUGAACUACAAAUUGUGAUAAAAGAUUUUGUCAACAUUUGCAAAACACAAUACCCCUAAGUCACAAAGCACAUGGGCUCACAGAAGCAAUUCUACCUUCACAGGACAGGGGCUCACCAGCAGGCAAUUGAAACAACUGUCAAUAAAUUGUAUGCAGAACACU